rnacentral:rRNA from 1 species
UUAAUAAAAGAAGUAAAUAAGAGCGUAUGGGGAAUGCCUAGGCUCUCAGAGGCGAAGAAGGACGUGAUAAGCUGCGAAAAGCUGCGGGGAUUGGCAAAUACAAAUUGAUCCGCAGAUGUCCGAAUGGGGCAACCCGGUGUAAUGAAGUUACAUCACUGCCGUAGUAAUAUGGCAAGAGCAAACCCGGAGAACUGAAACAUCUAAGUACCCGGAGGAAGAGAAAACAACAGUGAUUGCGCAAGUAGUGGCGAGCGAACGCGCAAGAGCCCAAACCUGACAAGUUAAGGCUUGUCGGGGGUUAUAGGACCUUAACAUUGACUACACUAUUAAUUUGAACUGCGUGGGAAAGCAGGCCAUAGAAGGUGAGAGCCCUGUAAGAGUAAAGUAGUGUUACAUAGAGGUAUCCUGAGUAGGGCGGGGUCGGAGACGCCCCGUUUGAAUUUGCCGGCACCAUCCGGUAAGGCUAAACACUCCUGAGAGACCGAUAGUGAACCAGUACUGUGAAGGAAAGGUGAAAAGUACCGUGAACAACGGGGUGAAAUAGAACCUGAAACCAUACGCUUACAAGCGGUCGGAGCCACGUGAUGUGGUGACGGCGUGCCUUUUGCAUAAUGAGCCUACGAGUUACUGUUACUGGCAAGGUUAAGCAACAGAAGUUGCGCAGCCGAAGCGAAAGCGAGUCUGAAUAGGGCGCUUAAGUCAGUAGGAGUAGACGCGAAACCUUGUGAUCUACCCUUGGCCAGGAUGAAGCCUCGUUAACACGGGGUGGAGGUCCGAACUAGUAAACGUUGAAAAGUUUUUGGAUGAGCUGAGGGUAGGGGUGAAAGGCUAAUCAAACUGGGAAAUAGCUCGUACUCCCCGAAAUGCCUUUAGGGGCAGCGUGAGGGUUGAGUUUGUUAGAGGUAGAGCUACCAAUUGGACUAGGGGGAGUCACAUCCUACCAAAUCCAGAUGAACUCCGAAUGCUAACAAAUAUACCUUGCAGUGAGGGCGCGGGUGCUAAGGUCCGUGUCCGAGAGGGAAAGAACCCAGACCAACAGCUAAGGUCCCAAAAUCUACACUAAGUUGAACUAAGGCGGUUCAGUUGCAUAGACAGCCAGGAUGUUUGCUUGGAAGCAGCAAUUCAUUUAAAGAGUGCGUAACAGCUCACUGGUCGAGCGACAGAGCAUCGAUAAUAAUCGGGCAUCAAGUGUAGUACCGAAGCUAUGGAUAUAUCCCGUAAGGGAUCUGUGGUAGGGGAGCAUUCUAACAUCGGGGAAGCAGGGGGGUCACCUUCUGUGGAGAGGUUAGAAAAGCAAAUGUAGGCAUAAGUAACGAUAAGGCGGGUGAGAAACCCGUCCACCGAUAGACUAAGGUUUCCGCGGCAAUGCUAAUCAACCGCGGGUAAGUCGGGACCUAAGGCGAAGCCGAGAGGCGUAGUCGAUGGCCAACGGGUUAAUAUUCCCGUACUACCGUAAUGAGCGAAGAAGUGACGGAGGAGUGAAAGUUCCGCGCCCUGACGAAAUAGGGCGUUGAAAGACGUAGGUAUAUGACCGGCAGGCAAAUCCGCCGGUUUUGCUGAAAUCCAAUAGUACACAGAGGCUUCGGCCGAAGUGAUAGAGAACGUAAGCAGACUUCCAAGAAAACCUUCUAGCGUUAAUCAUUAUGGUACCCGUACCGCAAACCGACACAGGUAGUCAAGGAGAGAAUCCUGAGGUGCUCGAGUGAAUCAUGGCUAAGGAACUCGGCAAAUUAACCCUGUAACUUCGGGAAAAGGGGUGUCACUAGUAAUAGUGAUCGCAGAGAAAUGGCCCAGGCGACUGUUUAACAAAAACACAUGGCUAUGCGAAAUCGAAAGAUGAAGUAUAUGGCCUGACACCUGCCCGGUGCUGGAAGGUUAAGGGGGGACGUUAGCCGCAAGGCGAAGCGUUGAACUGAAGCCCCAGUAAACGGCGGCCGUAACUAUAACGGUCCUAAGGUAGCGAAAUUCCUUGUCGGGUAAGUUCCGACCUGCACGAAUGGUGUAACGAUCUGGGCGCUGUCUCAGCCAUGAGCUCGGUGAAAUUGUAGUCACGGUGAAGAUGCCGUGUACCCGCAACGGGACGGAAAGACCCCAUGCACCUUUACUAUAGCUUCACAUUGACAUUGGGUAAAUGAUGUGUAGGAUAGGUGGGAGACAUUGAUCCCGGGCCGCUAGGUUCGGGGGAGUCAACGGUGAAAUACCACCCUUUAUUUUCUUGAUGUCUAACCUCUAAUCAGGGACAGUGUGUGGUGGGUAGUUUGACUGGGGUGGUCGCCUCCGAAAGUGUAUCGGAGGCUUUCAAAGGUAUGCUCAGUACGCUUGGUAACCGUACGAGGAGUGCAAUAGCAUAAGCAUGCUUGACUGUGAGACCGACGGGUCGAGCAGGGACGAAAGUUGGAUAUAGUGAUCCGGUGGUUCUGUAUGGAAGGGCCAUCGCUCAAAGGAUAAAAGGUACGCUGGGGAUAACAGGCUGAUCUCCCCCAAGAGCUCACAUCGACGGGGAGGUUUGGCACCUCGAUGUCGGCUCGUCACAUCCUGGGGCUGGAGAAGGUCCCAAGGGUUCGGCUGUUCGCCGAUUAAAGUGGCACGCGAGCUGGGUUCAGAACGUCGUGAGACAGUUCGGUCCCUAUCUGUUGUGGGCGCUGGAAGUUUGAGAGGACCUGACUCUAGUACGAGAGGACCGAGUCGGACGUACCUCUAGUGUACCUGUUGUGGCGCCAGCUGCAUCGCAGGGUAGCUACGUACGGUUGAGAUAAGCGCUGAAAGCAUCUAAGCACGAAACUCGCCUCAAGAUGAGACUUCCUUUAAGGGUCGUCAGAGACUAUGACGUUGAUAGGUUGCAAGUGUAAAGACAGUAAUGUCAAAGCUGAGCAAUACUAAUUACCCGUAGACUUUUUAUC